UUUAUCUUCUGCAGCCUCUUGAACUGGUAUUGUAGACCACGAGGGAAAUCCAUGGCUAGCCUCUUGAAUCGGUAUCGACCAAGAAGGAAGUCCAUUAAUUUGGGNNNNNNNNNNGGUUGAAGUUGAGGUAUGAGGCGUUAGCAGGUAUGGAAACAAACUGGACUCAUCAUAUGCGGUAGAAUUGCCUGCGGACCAGUUUGCUUCUGGAGGCGCAACAGGCCAUCCUGAAGAGUAGCGAUCUUCC
rnacentral:misc_RNA from 1 species